CCUACGGUGAGCAGCAGUCGAGAAUCAUUCACAAUGGGGGAAACCCUGAUGGUGCGACGCCGCGUGGGGGAAUGAAGGUCUUCGGAUUGUAAACCCCUGUCAUGUGGGGGCAAAUUAAAAAGAUAGUACCACAAGAGGAAGAGACGGCUAACUCUGUGCCAGCAGCCGCGGUAAUACAGAGGUCUCAAGCGUUGUUCGGAAUCACUGGGCGUAAAGCGUGCGUAGGCUGUUUCGUAAGUCGUGUGUGAAAGGCGCGGGCUCAACCCGCGGACGGCACAUGAUACUGCGAGACUAGAGUAAUGGAGGGGGAACCGGAAUUCUCGGUGUAGCAGUGAAAUGCGUAGAUAUCGAGAGGAACACUCGUGGCGAAGGCGGGUUCCUGGACAUUAACUGACGCUGAGGCACGAAGGCCAGGGGAGCGAAAGGGAGUAGAUACCCCUGUAGUC
rnacentral:rRNA from 1 species